UUGCCGUAGGUGAACCUUCGGCAGGAUCAUUAACACUUUUGAUCAUCACUUUGAUUACCAAACCACCUGUGUGAACUUUUUUUGUCGGCGUCGCGGUUGCGGCUGCCGUGAGGCGGAUGGCGACUCGGCCCACCGACAAAAAAUUUUGAUGCCAAACCAUGUUAAAAAACUGAUUUGCUAGGCAUGUUCUCGCUCGGACGCGGCGUCACAGCUGCGAAUGGCGGAUGGCCGAACUAAUGCAAAACAACUCUUAACAAUGGAUAUCUUGGCUCUU
rnacentral:misc_RNA from 1 species